UGAGAAAUACAUCUAAUGUCAGGUUGCCU
rnacentral:piRNA from 1 species